rnacentral:lncRNA from 1 species
UCUGCUUCGUGACGCGGAGCCAAGAGUUCGACAUCUACACGCAGUACUGCAACAACUACCCCAACUCGGUGGCGACGUUAAGCGAGUGCAUGAGGAGCAAGCAGCAGGCACGGUUUUUCCGUGAGUGCCAGGAGGAGAUGCGGCACGUGCUCCCGCUGGGUGCCUACCUGCUGAAGCCGGUGCAGAGGAUCCUCAAGUACCACCUGCUGCUCCAGGUGAGCACGCGUGGGGCGGGCGCCGGGCACAGCACGGGCACCUGGUGUGCCGGGAGCACGUGGCGUGGCAUUUGGCAAGGCGUGGGGCGCGGCCGGGG